AUCCAUCCAGUUCUCCAUCCGGAGUUCAUAACCAAAUCUGAUCCAUUUGAGUGAGCCGAUCUUAGGGUCCUUCAAGUGGUAUCAGAGCCGCUCGUUUGGUAUCUUCUAAAUCAUUCAUCUUUCUCAUCUUCCAUUUCUAAAUCAUAAACACUUCUUCUUCUAUCCAUCUUGAAUCCGGACCCCUCAUUAUCAUCCUCUAUCUAUAAAAAAAAAAAGAUUUUCAUUUGGGGAUUGGUGGUGGAAGAGAAAGCCUGCUGGCUGAGGAGAAAUCCAGCCUUUGAGGUGGUU
rnacentral:lncRNA from 1 species